rnacentral:rRNA from 1 species
UACGAAGGGGGCUAGCGUUGCUCGGAAUCACUGGGCGUAAAGCGCACGUAGGCGGCUUCUUAAGUCAUGUGUGAAAUCCCUCGGCUCAACCGGGGAACGACGCAUGAAACUGGCAAGCUAGAGUACCAAAGAGGGUGGUGGAAUUCCCGGUGUAGCGGUGAAAUGCGUAGAUAUCGAGAGGAACACCUGCGGCGAAGGCGGGUAGCUGGGCCGACACUGACGCUGAGGCGCGAAAGCCAGGGGAGCGAACGGG